CAGGCAGUGGCUAGCCGUUGCACGCCACGCAUCGACGGUGCCAAUGGAGGCAUUUGGAAGCCGCUUUGCAAGGAAUUUUGCCUCGGAUGUGGAUUUGGCUCUUGCAUGGUACUCUCGGCAGUAUGGAAUUGCUCUAACACAUUAAAAAUCCGUCGCCAAGAUGAAAUUGUUUACAGCAUUCAGACAUCUAGGGUCGUGAGUACAGUUAGCCGCCACGUCGCUUGCCACCACUACUUCGCCACUGCUCCGCCAACUUCAUGCAUACAGACAUGCAUCAGAGCACGGACUAGUUAAUUCGUUUCCUCGAAAACGUAGCAAAACAGGAAACUUGGUGAAUAUUUUCGUAUGGAAAACUUCUGACGGAGACAGAAGGCAGUCAACUUUUGCAGUUUUGGGGCUUUCCAUUCAACCGGAGGAAAUCGGAGAUUCGGAUAGAACAUCCGGCCAGCCAGCACUUGUAUUCACCUUCCAGUGAGAACGAACUACCUGUAUGAGGGGCAGGAACAUCAGGAAUCCCAGGCGGGGCCGUUUACCAGGAUGGAUUAGCAGAAGAGAACAACCGAUGAGCAGUGAG